GGAUACAAUCCGAAAAUUGCUACAAGCCUAUAAAUAUCAACUUCUAGACUACUCUAACAAGAUAGUUGCCUUCCAGCAGAUGUCCCAAGCUCUCCAAGAGGAAUGGGAGAGAAUCAAAAUAAUUAUGGAAGGCCCUUAGAUUAGAAUAGGGUGUUGUUAGUUGUAUUAGCCUCUUUGCUGAAAUCUAAUGGAAUGUCUUCUUAUAAGAUGAUAUGCAAAUAAUACUAC
rnacentral:lncRNA from 1 species